AUGAAGGCAUUCAGAUGCAGCGUCCUGCAAUAAUGGUGUUGUGAUCUAUACGACAAUACUGCCUAAGAACUGCCUGCGGCAAGUUGAUGUCUUGAUGUCUUCAAGCAGAAUUCUCUGUUCCUUACUCUGAUUUUUGUUGUAAAAUAUAAGCUGGUGGUAUCAUUCCCACCUUUAACCUCACUUCUGAAUGCAAAUAGAUGCUAUCAGGAGGCAAUGGGAAACGGAGAGCUUGUACAUGGAGGAGAUGAGGAGCGGAAACAAGGCGACACCUUCUAUAUGCAGCCUGGCUUGGAAGGAUUCAGGAUGUGCUUGGGCAAAACAACUGGUGUUUCAGGAAGCAGGUGGCUAUACCACAGAAAAUGUUAAUAGCUGCUGGUGGGAGUACUUGACAGAAACUGAAGAAACACGAUCUUCAGGUAGAUAAUAAUUAACAGUGACA